CCAAUAGCGUAUAUUAAAGUUGUUGCAGUUAAAAAGCUCGUAGUUGAAUUUCGGGAUCAAGGAAUCGGUCAUGCCUUGGUAUGUACUGGUUUUAUUGGUUCUCACCUUCUAAAGAACCAUAAUGUCAUUUAUUUGAUGUUAUGGGGAAUUAGGACUGUUACCUUGAAAAAAUUAGAGUGUUUAAAGCAAGCUUACGCUUGAAUACAUUAGCAUGGAAUAA
rnacentral:rRNA from 1 species